GAUGAACGCUGGCGGCGUGCCUAAUACAUGCAAGUCGAGCGAACAGACGAGGAGCUUGCUCCUCUGACGUUAGCGGCGGACGGGUGAGUAACACGUGGAUAACCUACCUAUAAGACUGGGAUAACUUCGGGAAACCGGAGCUAAUACCGGAUAAUAUAUUGAACCGCAUGGUUCAAUAGUGAAAGACGGUUUUGCUGUCACUUAUAGAUGGAUCCGCGCCGCAUUAGCUAGUUGGUAAGGUAACGGCUUACCAAGGCAACGAUGCGUAGCCGACCUGAGAGGGUGAUCGGCCACACUGGAACUGAGACACGGUCCAGACUCCUACGGGAGGCAGCAGUAGGGAAUCUUCCGCAAUGGGCGAAAGCUUGACGGAGCAGCGCCGCGUGAGUGAUGAAGGUCUUCGGAUCGUAAAACUCUGUUAUUAGGGAAGAACAAAUGUGUAAGUAACUAUGCACGUCUUGACGGUACCUAAUCAGAAAGCCACGGCUAACUACGUG
rnacentral:rRNA from 1 species